rnacentral:rRNA from 1 species
CCUACGGGGCGCAGCAGUGGGGAAUAUUGGACAAUGGGCGAAAGCCUGAUCCAGCCAUGCCGCGUGUGUGAAGAAGGCCUUCGGGUUGUAAAGCACUUUCAGUGGGGAAGAAAGCCUUGGGGCUAAUACCCUCGAGGAAGGACAUCACCCACAGAAGAAGCACCGGCUAACUCCGUGCCAGCAGCCGCGGUAAUACGGAGGGUGCGAGCGUUAAUCGGAAUUACUGGGCGUAAAGCGCGCGUAGGCGGUCUGAUAAGCCGGUUGUGAAAGCCCCGGGCUCAACCUGGGAACGGCAUCCGGAACUGUCAGGCUAGAGUGCAGGAGAGGAAGGUAGAAUUCCCGGUGUAGCGGUGAAAUGCGUAGAGAUCGGGAGGAAUACCAGUGGCGAAGGCGGCCUUCUGGACUGACACUGACGCUGAGGUGCGAAAGCGUGGGUAGCAAACAGGAUUAGCUACCCUAGUAGUC